CACCGCGGUUAUACGAGAGGCCCAAGUUAACAGAACCUCGGCGUAAAGCGUGGUUAGAUAUUUUUAAACUAGAGCCGAAUACUCCCGAAGCUGUUAUACGCACCCGGGAGCCAGAAGCCCCACUACGAAAGUGGCUUUACCCUUUUUGAAUCCACGAAAGCUAAGGCA
rnacentral:rRNA from 1 species